rnacentral:RNase_P_RNA from 1 species
GUAAUCGCUGCAACGCUUGACGUUGUUGAGGAAAGUCCAUGCUCGCACGGUUCUGAGAUGACCGUAGUGUUCGUGCUUAGUGAAUAAAUAAGCUAAGGCAGUCUAAUGGCUGACGGCGAGAGGAAAACCUAAGUCUCAUUUGGGAUAUGGUUGAAACUCUAUGAAAGUGCCACAGUGACGAAGUUAUUACGGAAACGUAAUAAGUGGAACGAGGUAAACCCCGCGAGUGAGCAACCCAAAUUAUGGUAGGGGCGUUCUCCUGAAGGAAAUGAAUGGAUGGAGAGACAAAAGUGUUUUAACGCUUUUGUAGAUAGAUGAUUACUACCCAGUAGUACGAGGCGAGAGCCGUUAUAGUACUAGGGCACAAAACAUGGCUUAC